rnacentral:misc_RNA from 1 species
GAUGAAGAACGUAGUGAAAUGCGAUAAGUAAUGUGAAAUGCAGAAUUCAGUGAAUCAUCGAAUCUUUGAACGCACAUUGCGCCCGCCAGUAUUCUGGCGGGCAUGCCUGUUCGAGCGUCAUUACAACCCUCAGGCCCCCGGGCCUGGCGUUGGGGAUCGGCGGAAGCCCCCUGUGGGCACACGCCGUCCCUCAAAUACAGUGGCGGUCCCGCCGCAGCUUCCAUUGCGUAGUAGCUAACACCUCGCAACUGGAGAGCGGCGCGGCCAUGCCGUAAAACACCCAACUUCUGAAUGUUGACCUCGAAUCAGGUAGGAAUACCCGCUGAACUUAAGCAUAUCAAUAAGCGGAGGA